rnacentral:rRNA from 1 species
GGAAUAUUGCACAAUGGGCGCAAGCCUGAUGCAGCCAUGCCGCGUGUAUGAAGAAGGCCUUCGGGUUGUAAAGUACUUUCAGCAGUGAGGAAGGUGGUGUCGUUAAUAGCGGCAUCAUUUGACGUUAGCUGCAGAAGAAGCACCGGCUAACUCCGUGCCAGCAGCCGCGGUAAUACGGAGGGUGCGAGCGUUAAUCGGAAUUACUGGGCGUAAAGCGCAUGCAGGUGGUUUGUUAAGUCAGAUGUGAAAGCCCGGGGCUCAACCUCGGAAUUGCAUUUGAAACUGGCAGACUAGAGUACUGUAGAGGGGGGUAGAAUUUCAGGUGUAGCGGUGAAAUGCGUAGAGAUCUGAAGGAAUACCGGUGGCGAAGGCGGCCCCCUGGACAGAUACUGACACUCAGAUGCGAAAGCGUGGGGAGCAAACAGGAUUAGAUACCCUGGUAGUCCACGCCGUAAACGAUGUCUACUUGGAGGUUGUGGCCUUGAGCCGUGGCUUUCGGAGCUAACGCGUUAAGUA